UUUUAUGAAAAAUUCAACCACCUCGGAUGUUGAAGGGAUGGCAAAGCUGUCAUGAAAAUGGCUUUAGAAAAAGAGUUGACUCUGUACAAUGUGUUGUUCUUGCCCUAAAUUAGAAAGAAUCGGGUGUCUAGUGCUCUAUUGAGCAGACAUGGUUUUCGUAUAGUCUUUGAGGUAGAUAGGAUCACUCUGUCAAAAGCUAGAAUGUAUGUAGGCAAAUGUUAUAUGACCAGCGAUUUUUUUAAGAUGAAUGUAAUGACUGUAAUCCCUACUAUUAAUAAGAAAAAUUUUCAUUUGUUUAUGUGCUUGAGUUUUUUAUUUUAUGUCAUGGUAGACUAAUGAACAUUCUAAGAUGGAAAACAUGUUAAUUAUGAUUCUAUGCAUAGACUAAUGUGUGUGUGAUUAGGUCUUUGUUUAGGUCUUCAUUUCAUUCGGUUGACAGAAGUACCAAAUCAUUAGAUGUAAUCUAUACUGAUGUGUGUAUGAUUUGAAGUAUGUCCAAACACACAAUGCAAAUAAGUAUUUCAUUACUUUCAUUGAUAAUUGUAUGAAAUACUAUAAUGUAUACUUGCAAAAGAGCAAAGAUGAAGCUUUAGACAAAUUUAUUCUUUGUAAAAAUGAAGUAGAAAAUUAACUUAGCAAGAAAAUUAAGGUUAUGCGAAGUGACUGAGGUAAUGAAUAUGAAUAAAUGUUUGGUGGAUAUUAUGGAGAACACAUAAUUAUUUGCCACACCAUCGCACCUUAUUCUUCUCAUUAGAAUGGAACUGUUGAACCAAAGAAUCGUACCUUAAAGGAUAUCAUGAAUGCUAUAUUGGUAAAUUUUGGGUUAGCCUCAAAACAUGUGGGGUGAAUCGAUUCUCACCGUAAACUAUAUCCUAAAUAUAGUACAUCGCAAAAAGUUGAAUAAAACCCCGUAUAAGUAAUUUAAGUGUAGGAGACCUACCUAUAACUACUUACGAACAUGGGGGUGUCUUGCGAAGGUGAUGGUACUUAUACUUAAAAAAGAGAAAAUAGAUCCAAAAACCGUUGAUACACUAUGUUCUCAUCGGUUAUGCACAAAAAUCAAUUUCUUGUGUAUGAGUCUACAAUACAAGAUAUUCACAAGAAUACCUAUAUGGAAUCUAAGAAUGCAUCAUUCUUUGAACACAAUUUUUCAUAUAGAUCCACAAGAGAGUCUAGUUCAGUGAAAUUAACUUUGCAUCUUACUAAUGAUAGCAGUCGAGAUCAAGAAGAUGAAUUUGAAAUAAAAUUACGAUGUAGCAAAAAAGCUAGAACGUCAACAUCUUUUGGUCUAGAGUUCCUAACUUAUAUGUUAGAAAGUGAGCAUCAGACCUACAAGGAAGUUGUGAGUUGUCAUGAGGGUCCUUUGUGGAAAAAGCCUAUUAAAAGUGAGGUUGACUCCAUUUUGCAAAAUCAUACGUGAAAACUGGUUGAUUUGCCACCAGGCAAUAAGCCUUUAAGAUAUAAAUGAAUCUUCAAGAAGAAGAUAAAAGCGUAUGGGUCAAUUGAUAAAUACAAAACUAGGCUUCUUAUCAAAGGAUAUAGAAAAAAAAGAAGUCCUAGACUAUUUUGAUACUUACUCAUCAGUUUUGAAAAUUACAUCAAUUUGGGUGAUAAUUACUAUCAUAGCUUUGCAAAAUCUCAAAAUAUAUUAGAUUGCUGUAAAGAUAACUUUCCUAAUUGGAGAUUUAGAAGAAGAAAUCUAAAUGGAACAACUUGAGGGUUUUUUUGCAACUGGAAUGGAUGAUAAAGUUUGUAAGCUUGUAAGAUCGUUGUAUGGUCUUAAACAAGCACCGAAAUAAUGGCAUGAGAAGCUUGACAAUAUUGUAUUGUCAAGUGGCUUCAAAAUCAACGAAUGUGACAAAUGUGUAUAUGUCAAAAACACAGACGAAGGGUAUAUCAUUUUGUGUCUUUAUAUUGAUGACAUAAUUAUUGUAGGUAGUAACGAUAAAGUUAUUCAAUCUACCAAGAACAUGUUAAAUUCAAAAUUUGACAUGAAGGAUAUGGGUCUAGCAGAUGUUCUGACAGACUUACACUAUCUCAGACACACUAUAUUGAUAAAAUUCAAUAAAUUUAAUUUAAAUAUUGCAAGGACUUGUGUAGAUGUAAAUCUCCACUUAUCCAAUAAUGGAGGAAAAGGUGUAUUCCAAUUGAAGAAUUCUCAUGUAAUUGGAGUUUAAUGUACUUAAUGAGUCUUACAAUGCCUGAUAUAACUUACUCAAUGAGCAGACUGAGUAGGUACAUGAGUAAUAUAUGAAGUGAUCAUUAGAAGGCGAUUGCAAGGUUACUACACUAUUUGAGAUAUACUCGAGAUCUUGGAAUGCAUUACACCAAAUAUUCAGCAGUACUAGAAAAGUACUGGGAUGUAAAAUGAAUAUUAGAUAUGAAAGACUUAAAAUCCAUGAGUAAAUAUGUCUUCAUACUUAGUGGUGCAACAAUGUCUUGAAAAUCUUUCAAAUAUACGUGCAUUGCACAAUCUACGAUAGAAUUAGAGUUUAUUAUU
rnacentral:lncRNA from 1 species